AGAGUUUGAUCCUGGCUCAGGACGAACGCUGGCGGCGCGCCUAACACAUGCAAGUCGAACGAGCGAGAGAGAGCUUGCUUUCUCAAGCGAGUGGCGAACGGGUGAGUAACGCGUGAGGAACCUGCCUCAAAGAGGGGGACAACAGUUGGAAACGACUGCUAAUACCGCAUAAGCCCACGGUGCCGCAUGGCACAGGGGGAAAAGGAGCAAUCCGCUUUGAGAUGGCCUCGCGUCCGAUUAGCUAGUUGGUGAGGUAAUGGCCCACCAAGGCGACGAUCGGUAGCCGGACUGAGAGGUUGAACGGCCACAUUGGGACUGAGACACGGCCCAGACUCCUACGGGAGGCAGCAGUGGGGAAUAUUGCACAAUGGGGGAAACCCUGAUGCAGCGACGCCGCGUGGAGGAAGAAGGUCUUCGGAUUGUAAACUCCUGUUGUUGAGGAAGAUAAUGACGGUACUCAACAAGGAAGUGACGGCUAACUACGUGCCAGCAGCCGCGGUAAAACGUAGGUCACAAGCGUUGUCCGGAAUUACUGGGUGUAAAGGGAGCGCAGGCGGGAAGACAAGUUGGAAGUGAAAUCUAUGGGCUCAACCCAUAAACUGCUUUCAAAACUGUNUUUCUUGAGUAGUGCAGAGGUAGGCGGAAUUCCCGGUGUAGCGGUGGAAUGCGUAGAUAUCGGGAGGAACACCAGUGGCGAAGGCGGCCUACUGGGCACCAACUGACGCUGAGGCUCGAAAGUGUGGGUAGCAAACAGGAUUAGAUACCCUGGUAGUCCACACCGUAAACGAUGAUUACUAGGUGUUGGAGGAUUGACCCCUUCAGUGCCGCAGUUAACACAAUAAGUAAUCCACCUGGGGAGUACGACCGCAAGGUUGAGACUCAAAGGAAUUGACGGGGGCCCGCACAAGCAGUGGAGUAUGUGGUUUAAUUCGACGCAACGCGAAGAACCUUACCAAGUCUUGACAUCCUCUGACGAACGUAGAAAUACGUUUUCUCUUCGGAGCAGAGAGACAGGUGGUGCAUGGUUGUCGUCAGCUCGUGUCGUGAGAUGUUGGGUUAAGUCCCGCAACGAGCGCGACCCUUAUGGUCAGUUACUACGCAAGAGGACUCUGGCCAGACUGCCGUUGACAAAACGGAGGAAGGUGGGGAUGACGUCAAAUCAUCAUGCCCUUUAUGACUUGGGCUACACACGUACUACAAUGGCGUUAAACAAAGAGAAGCAAGACCGCGAGGUGGAGCAAAACUCAGAAACAACGUCCCAGUUCGGACUGCAGGCUGCAACUCGCCUGCACGAAGUCGGAAUUGCUAGUAAUCGCAGAUCAGCAUGCUGCGGUGAAUACGUUCCCGGGGCCUUGUACACACCGCCCGUC
rnacentral:rRNA from 1 species